GAUGAACGCUGGCGGCGUGCCUAAUACAUGCAAGUCGAGCGAACAGACGAGGAGCUUGCUCCUCUGACGUUAGCGGCGGACGGGUGAGUAACACGUGGAUAACCUACCUAUAAGACUGGGAUAACUUCGGGAAACCGGAGCUAAUACCGGAUAACAUGUUGAACCGCAUGGUUCAACAGUGAAAGACGGUCUUGCUUUCACUUAUAGAUGGAUCCGCGCCGCAUUAGCUAGUUGGUAAGGUAACGGCUUACCAAGGCAACGAUGCGUAGCCGACCUGAGAGGGUGAUCGGCCACACUGGAACUGAGACACGGUCCAGACUCCUACGGGAGGCAGCAGUAGGGAAUCUUCCGCAAUGGGCGAAAGCCUGACGGAGCAACGCCGCGUGAGUGAAGAAGGUCUUCGGAUCGUAAAACUCUGUUAUUAGGGAAGAACAAAUGUGUAAGUAACUAUGCACGUCUUGACGGUACCUAAUCAGAAAGCCACGGCUAACUACGUG
rnacentral:rRNA from 1 species